GUGCUCACUUCAGCAGUACAUACACUGAAAUUGGGAUGAUACAAUGAAGAUUGAUAGGGCUUCUGUGCAAGGAUAUGACACAAAUUUGUGAAGCCUUUUGAAAUGAA
rnacentral:snRNA from 1 species